AUUGAACGCUGGCGGCAUGCUUUACACAUGCAAGUCGAACGGUAACAGGCCGCAAGGUGCUGACGAGUGGCGAACGGGUGAGUAAUGCAUCGGAACGUGCCCAGUCGUGGGGGAUAACGCAGCGAAAGCUGUGCUAAUACCGCAUACGAUCUGUGGAUGAAAGCGGGGGACCGAAAGGCCUCGCGCGAUUGGAGCGGCCGAUGUCAGAUUAGGUAGUUGGUGGGGUAAAGGCUCACCAAGCCAACGAUCUGUAGCUGGUCUGAGAGGACGACCAGCCACACUGGGACUGAGACACGGCCCAGACUCCUACGGGAGGCAGCAGUGGGGAAUUUUGGACAAUGGGCGCAAGCCUGAUCCAGCAAUGCCGCGUGCAGGAAGAAGGCCUUCGGGUUGUAAACUGCUUUUGUACGGAGCGAAAAGGCUCUCUCUAAUACAGGGGGCUCAUGACGGUACCGUAAGAAUAAGCACCGGCUAACUACGUGCCAGCAGCCGCAGUAAAAC
rnacentral:rRNA from 1 species